UUAGGACGAACGCUGGCGGCGUGCCUAACACAUGCAAGUCGAACGGAGAGCAUAUGAAGUAUUCGGUACGGAAUGCGUUCUUAGUGGCGAACGGGUGAGUAACACGUGGGCAACCUGCCCCAGACUGGGGGAUAACAUUGUGAAAACAGUGCUAAUACCGCAUGACAGGGUCCGGGCAUCCGGGACUCUUGAAAGGAGAAAUCCGGUCAGGGAUGGGCCCGCGUCCAAUUAGCUAGUUGGUGGGGUAACGGCCCACCAAGGCGACGAUUGGUAGCCGAACUGAGAGGUUGAUCGGCCACAUUGGGACUGAGACACGGCCCAGACUCCUACGGGAGGCAGCAGUGGGGAAUAUUGGGCAAUGGGCGAAAGCCUGACCCAGCGACGCCGCGUGAAGGAUGAAGGUCUUCGGAUUGUAAACUUCUUUGAUCAGGGAAGAAAGAAAUGACGGUACCUGAAAAACAAGCCACGGCUAACUACGUGCCAGCCGCGGC
rnacentral:rRNA from 1 species